AAUGCGUUUAAAGAUUUUAAUAUAUAUAUAUGAUGGUAUUUUUCAGUAUAAGCAAUUCCAAUACAGAUAGAAGCUUACUUAGUUUUUUUUCCAUCAUAGUCUACCAGCACUGUCGCACACUUUUCUCGUCUGUGCACAAGCUUCCAUAUUCCCUCAUCGUAAAAAUCUUUGAACUGAUAUCUCAGCCAGUUGCUCACAACACUUUUGACUUGAUCGUCACUUUCAAACUUUGUGCCUCUCGUGAAUGCUUUUAAGGCAGCAAACAGAUGAAAGUGUGAAGGGGCAAAGUCUGGAUUGGAAGGGGGAUAAAGGAGCAAUUCACAGCCCAGAUCAUUGAUGGUCUGCACCAUUUGGGCUGCACUGUGAGGCCCCGCGUUGUCAUGAUGCAAGAUUAUUCUUCCUGACUGAUGAGCCCUGCGUUUGUUCUUGAUGUCUUUCAUGACCUGCCUCAGCAGUUCACAGUAGUUGGCACCAAGUUUGAAAAUGACAGUCAAAAUGACAUCAUUUGAGUGCAG